rnacentral:rRNA from 1 species
UACGAAGGGGGGCUAGCGUUGCUCGGAAUUACUGGGCGUAAAGGGCGCGUAGGCGGCACUGUUAGUCAGGCGUGAAAGUCCUGGGCUCAACCUGGGAACUGCGCUUGAUACGGGCAGAGCUAGAGGAUGGAAGAGGCUCGCGGAAUUCCCAGUGUAGAGGUGAAAUUCGUAGAUAGUUGGGAAGAACACCGGUGGCGAAGGCGGCGAGCUGGUCCAUUACUGACGCUGAGGCGCGACAGCGUGGGGAGCAAACAGG